UUGGCGGCCACGACGAUGGACCAGGCGCCGGUGGGCCGUGUGCAAGGAGAAGCAGUCGCAGCCUCGGGAGCCGCUGCCACCGGCGCUCAGGGAGUCGGGGCGACAGAUGAAUAAUGACAGAGGCUUUGAAAAUGUAGAACUGGAAGUCAUAGAAAAAAAGAAGAAAGUCCUAAGGAGAGUCAUCCACUUUGUUAGUGGUGAAACAAUGGAAGAAUACAGCACAGAUGAAGAUGAAGUUGAUGGCCUGGAGAAGAAAAAUGUUUUGCCUAUUGUUGAUCCGACAAAACUUACCUGCGGCCCCUACUUGUGGUUUUAUAUGCUUCGUGCUGCUAUAUCAACCAUCUCAGUGUGUGACUUUCUUGGAGAGAAGAUUGCAUCUAUUUUGGGCCUCAGCACCCCAAAGUACCAGUAUGCCAUUGAUGAGUACUAUCAGAUGGAGAAGGAGGAAGAAGAAGAAGAAGAAAACAGGAUGUCUGAAGAAGCAGAAAGACAAUACCAGCAGAAUAAACUGCAGACUGAUUCCAUUGUUCAUACAGAUCAACCAGAAACAGUAGUAUCCAGUUCAUUUGUGAAUGUCAAUUUUGAAAUGGAGGGAGACAGUGAAGUAAUUAUUGAAAGCAAACAAAAUUCAGUUUCUAUCCCACCAUAAAAUGAGAUGACUAUCAGACUUCAAA